rnacentral:tmRNA from 1 species
GGGGCUGCACCGGUUUCGACGUGGGUUCGGACGCGAUGUGGUGCAUGUCGAGCUGAAUGCGCUCGUAAAACAGAUUCAAACAAACUAACUGCAAACGACGAACGUUUCGCACUCGCUGCUUAAUAACCAGUGAGCCUUACAACAGUUGGCCGAUGGGCUGGGCAAGGGGCGCAAGCUCCCGGCUGUAAGGUUAUUCACAUCGGCUGGCUUCGCACCGGGUACCUUGGUGUGGGGCGAGAUUCAAGGGUGCUGGCGUCCCGGGCAGCGUGCGGCUGCGCGUCCCGGGAAGUGAGACUCAAAUCAGACCGCUAAACAUGUAGAUCUGCUCGAAGAAGGCUCGCGGACGGGGGUUCAAUUCCCCCCAGCUCCACCA